UGAUAGAUUAUGAUAUCAUCUUAAUUUUAGGCUGGAUAUAACUCAACUUCAAAAUUUAACUUUUGAGGUGAGGGUUGUAUAUGCUUUACCUUUGCCAUAUAUAUAGUCAAUUUGGGAUCUCAACGAAAAUAUUAUCAAUAGUAUUUCAAGUGUGUAAUUCCCCUUUCAUGUCAAAAUCAAAUUGUGAUAUUUGAUGUCAUUGGUGUUGAUUCCUGUGCUUAGCAUCAAUAUGAAUUAUUUCAUGUGUGUGAUUCCCCUUUUAUGUCUAAAUCAAAUUGUGAUAUUUGAUGGCAUUGGUGUUGCUUCCUGUGCUUAGCAUAUCAUUCCCAAAUGUGUCUGAUGUUACUUCUUUCAACUGUGUGAAAUGCAUUAAAGUAUUUUAACUAGAUUUAUGAUUAUUUGUUGAUUGGAGAGAGAAUAUAUGCAAUUAUUUAUCACAGUAUUGUCUUCACAUGGAUUUGAUCUUUUUAUCGAAUUGGUGCAUGCUAAUAGAGGUUGUGUUCUAUUUUCGUGCAGGGAGAGCCUCUUUGUGUCUUCUAUUCACGGUAUGGCAUAUGCAAAUUUGGUCCAAGUUGCAAGUUUGAUCACCCAAUGGGAGUCUUUACCUAUAACAUAUCUGCAUCACCUUCAGCUGAUGCCCCAGGGCGGCGAAUGUUAGGUUCUUCAUCAGGAACUUCUGCAUUAAAUUUAUCAUCAGAAGGACUUGUUGAGUCAGGCUCAGCAAAUCCAAGGAGGCUUUCAUUAUCAGAGACUAGACAGAUUCCUUCUGGUGAUGAUAACAUUGAUGAAGAGGGAUAAUGAUGUCUCUUGGAAAUGGGUUACUUGCUUUUUACAAUUUUUUUCAGGGGAGAAAAGGGUAAUCUGUAAAUUGAUUUUCCCAUGCUGAAGGUGUACAGACUACAGAGUUCAUGUGAAGCUGAUUCUAUCAACGUGCUAUUUAAUGCCGUUGACAGAUUCAGUUGUUCUGAAUUUCAUGCUGUCACAUUGUAUAAAUUUUACAAAUAUUUGUCACAUUUGGUGGAAACCAAAUGUGAACAUUUCUUCAGUCCUUAAGUCAGUCUAUAUAUUUAAUGUUUUCCCAAUAUGUAAAAAUUGUUUUUCUGAAAAUCUGUAAUGAUCAAUAUUUGGCUCCUGUGUCAAUCUUUCUUUGUUGCAGGUUUGAAAUUCAGUGCAAAGACUAUUCUAUAUGCGGUCUACUGUGCAUAAUAGAAAUCUUUUUCAACAGCAAACCAACAAUGCCAAGCCUCAGCGCCAAUGCGACUUCUGUUCAGGCUACAAAAUACUUAACUUAAUGUUUCAAUUAAUUUUGGUGGGUGGAUGGUCCUUUCUGGCUUGGAGUCCGAUUAUCAUCAGUUCACAUGCAAUGCAAUAACUAAAUCAUGGUCGGGAGUUUAUUAGAAGCAUCAUUUCAGUGGCUGUAUAUACAUGUAUUUGAUGUGUUGCUCGCUGAUUCUAGUAUGUGUUAUCAAUAUGCUUACACAGGUACUGCGUCCAUUCUUUCUCUUUUUAUUUACUGAAACAACGAAACGGUGUAAUGAUCAUUAUCACGAAAUGCUUUUUUUUGCAGUC